rnacentral:rRNA from 1 species
AACGCGAAGAACCUUACCUGGGCUUGAACUACUCGUGGUAGGUCUUUGGAAACAGAGGCCGACCCGCAAGGGAGCGAGCAGAGGUGCUGCAUGGUUGUCGUCAGCUCGUGUCGUGAGAUGUUGGGUUAAGUCCCGCAACGAGCGCAACCCUUGUCCUUAGUUGCCAGCAUUAAGUUGGGCACUCUAAGGAGACCGCCGGUGACAAACCGGAGGAAGGUGGGGAUGACGUCAAGUCAUCAUGGCCUUUAUGACCAGGGCUACACACGUGCUACAAUGGUAGAUACAGAGGGAAGCCAACGCGCAAGCGGGAGCCAAUCCCAGAAAAUCUAUCGUAGUCCGGAUUGGAGUCUGCAACUCGACUCCAUGAAGUCGGAAUCGCUAGUAAUCGCAGAUCAGCAUUGCUGCGGUGAAUACGUUCCCGGGCCUUGUACACACCGGUACUA